UGAUAGUAUUAAAAAAAAAGACAGCUUUAUAAAAAGUUCUUCAAGUUAUAAACAUAUUUCUAAAAAGCAUAAAGACAGAGAUAAAAAUAAAAAAAAAGAAAAAAGUGAUCAGGCUGUAAUUAUAAAACAAAAAAAAAAUAGUAUUACUAGUUCUAAUACUAAAAUAAGUGACUAUUUUGAAUGGACUGACAAUAUUAAGGAUGGGUCUUAUAAAGACUUGGAGGAAAUUCAUCCGAAGAAAAUUGUUUUUAAAGAUGCUAAAAGAAUGCAAUCAGUUAGAAAUGAGACAAAUAAUCCAAAUGAUCCAGAUGAUCCAUAUGAUCCAAAUGAUCCAAAUGAUCCAAAUGAUCCAAAUGAUUCAAAUAUAGGUAGAGCCGAAUCAAACAAAAGCCAAGAUGAUACAGUACAAGAUAAUGUAUAUGAAAAUUACGUUAGAGAAUAUAAAAACUUACAGUUAUUAUUUUCAAGUGAAAAUAAACAAAUGGACGAGUCUUAUGUACCUAUACCUAAAAUGGUUGAUAGUAGUUUUAAAAGGAAAGUAGUAUCUCCAAAUAAUAAAAUCGAUGAUUGUAAGGGUGUCACUACGAAUAUUAUUAACAGUAAUUGUAAUGGAACGAAUCAUGGAAGCGGUAAUGGUAGCGGUAAUGGAAAUGGUAAUAACAACAAAAAGGGUGAUACUAACGAUUUUAAUAAAUUGUUAGAAAAAAACAUAAGUAAUAAACAAAAAAAAAUAUUAAUCAAGGAAGGUGGAAAAGAGAACAAAAAAGAAAAAGGAAAUCAGAGUGAAAGUAUAUUGGACUACAGUCAUGAACAUACAGGUGGUGAAGAACAUACAUGUGUCCAGGUAAAAACAAGUACUGACGAAACAAACGUGAAUAAUACCAGCGAUAAUUUUAAUGUUAAUGGAAGAAAAAAUGAAAUAUUAAUAACAUCUCAAAAAAGUGACAAAGAAAAAGUUGAAUCGAAUAGAAAACAUAAAAAUAAUGACAUAUAUUCAAAUUCGUUGCAUGAGGAAAAUGGAUCAAACAAUAGCAAUAAUGAUUACGAUAUAAUUUUAAAUAUUAGCACUAAUAAUUUAGGUAAUAUAUAUAAAGAAGAAAAUAAAUAUAAUACAUUAAAUGAUAAAAAAAUGAAUGUUACACACACAAAUAAUAAUCAUAGUAUAUACAAUAAAGAACGUAAUAAUGAUAGUAUUUAUAUGAAUAGUAGCAGUUGUAGUAGUAAUAAUAUUAAUAGAUUAUUUAAUAAAAAAAUUAUGCAACUUGAUAAGAGUUUAAAUAAUUAUACAUUAAACAAAAAAAAAAGUUUUUUAAGUAAUAGUAGUACAUGGGGAGGAGAUGAACAUAGAAUGAGUUCCUUAAGUAAUUUGGAUAAUUUUUAUAUUGACAGAACAGUCUCAACAAAUGAUAGUAACAACAAAAUCAUGUUAUAUAAAGAUAACAGUUCAGAAUAUAGUAAUAUAAAAAAAUUGUUAAGUUAUGAAACAAACAAUUUUAACUCUUUUAUUAAUGACACGAAUAAUUCCUUUAGGUAUAACGUACUUAGUGACACUGAUGUGCAUAAGGAAAGACACAAUAGUAGUGAAGAUAAAAAAAAAAAAAUAAAAAUAAAAAAAAUUCGUAGUAAAAAGGUUAUACAUGAACCAAGUGUACAAGAGUAUGGAUCAAUAACAACAGACACAAACGAUGAAAAAAAAAAAGUUACUAAACGAAA
rnacentral:lncRNA from 1 species